ensembl:lncRNA
CAGAUAAGAAAAAUAUUUUUAGAGACCGUUCAGAUGCACUUUUAUCAUUUUGUCCUUUAAAUGUGACUCGACUGUAAUAUAAACAUUUCUGUGUUCUUAUUCAGUCACAGAUCAGAUCAUCACAUCUGUCAGGACAGAAAAACUAGCAGCAGUAAAAAGUACUGCAGAGUCUCAGCUCACAGAGAGACAGAGAAACUGAAGCGACAGCAGCAUCAGAACACAGAGGACCAACAUUUACUUAUGAUUUACUGCAGAAUCAGAAUCAGCUUCACAUAGAAAAGCUGCAGUUAACAGAGAAAUACAGCGACUGAGUGACAGCUCUGCUGUACAGGAAACUGAUACUGCUGAAAACUGAGCAUCUGAAAAUGUCUUCCAUCAUUGAUGAGGAUCCAGAGCUGAGCAUGAAUGUGAAAUACAGCAAAGGAGAGGACAGAGGAGAGAGACUGGAGGGACGGGUCCUCCUCCAUGAGAAUGUGGACUCCUGCACAGACCAUCAGGUCCAUGUUUCAACACAGGACGGAGAAAUAAAAACCCAGAAGAAGCUUCCAGCUGUGAAAAGAAACCGUUUCAGAGCUCUUGAAGUGAACCUGGUGGUUCUGUAUCUGCUGAUUCUGGCUGGAAUCACAACACGCUAUAUUUUGGUGAGUUUGGAAAAAGAGCAGCUGAAGGAGAAGAUAGAAGGUAAGAAACUAUUAAAAACUGUUAAAGUUGGAGAUAGAUUUGAAAGGAAACUGAUUUUACAGUUUGAAUCAGCUUUUUGUGAUUAAGAUAAUCUGAUAAAAAAAAACAAAGCAAAUUACAGCAGCUGACCUCCCAAACUAACAUAAACAGGAGAAAGUGUUCACAGUCAAAGGCAGCUCAGCCCUACAAACUCCUUCAGAGUGAAACAGGAAACACACAGUCAGAGCUGCACAGGUGUGGCAGGUUGGAACAAGGAAACGCUGAAUGAGUCCUCUGCAGACGGCGGCCAUCUUGGCUCUUUAUGUAAUCAUUAGGCUGCAUGUUGGUGCACCAAUCACAGCAGAGUACCUGCACAUGCCCGUUAUCAUCCUCUCAUUCAGUCACAGCUGAGGCAAAGCAUGCAGAGCUUUUCAUGAAGGACAGAAAAACACAGCAGUUACACAAAAUGACACAAAUAUGAUGACAGUCAUAACAACAGGUCAAAGUUCAGUCUGUUACUGUAUCAUAGACACUUAUGCUGUGUGUGCUAUAACAAUUUUCUAACUCAUAUAGAUAUAUAUGUGAGAAUACAGAGUAAAAAGAUAAUUUCUGUUCAGUGUUUCGCUCUUUCACUCUCACUCUUUAUUUUACAUUUCAGCUGCUUUGAACAAGAAUGAAUACAACAAACUUCAGACCAAAUACAACAAACUGAACCACAGUUACAAUCAGCUACAGACUGAAGUUCAUGGUAAGCAAGCAAAUACUGAGUAUAUCAAUAUAAGUUCUAAUAUGAUAGCUAUAUUCUUUGAAUAUUUUAACUUUAUUUUAAUCUGUUUUUCUCUAUAGACACAGAAACCAGCCUGACUCAGUUACAGAGCAGUUAUGAUAAACUGAGUAAAAACCACAGUGAGCUACAGGAACAAUUCAGGAAGAUGAAACAAGGUAAUAAAGUUUGAAUAACUAAUAGAAAACAUCAGUAUUACACAGUGAUAACCUGACUGUGUCUUUAUUUUGAAGUCUUUUCUUUUCCUGUUCCAUUCAGCACUGUAACAAUCAGAGUUAUUGCCUGAAAACCAAGAAAAAUACCCAACAGAUUUUUAUUUUCCCAAGUGGAUCAUUA